rfam:Pseudohongiella acticola strain KCTC 42131 KCTC42131_S2, whole genome shotgun sequence.
GCCCGGGUGGCGAAAUUGGUAGACGCAAGGGACUUAAAAUCCCUCGGGGGAAACUCCGUACCGGUUCGAUUCCGGUCCCGGGCA